rnacentral:rRNA from 1 species
UACGAAGGGGGCUAGCGUUGCUCGGAAUCACUGGGCGUAAAGCGCACGUAGGCGGAUUGCUAAGUCAGGGGUGGAAUCCUGGAGCUCAACUCCAGAACUGCCCUUGAUACUGGCGGUCUCGAGUCCGGGAGAGGUGAGUGGAACUGCGAGUGUAGAGGUGAAAUUCGUAGAUAUUCGCAAGAACACCAGUGGCGAAGGCGGCUCACUGGCCCGGUACUGACGCUGAGGUGCGAAAGCGUGGGGAGCAAACAGG